rnacentral:rRNA from 1 species
AGCGAACGCUGGCGGCAGGCCUAACACAUGCAAGUCGAACGAAGUCUUCGGACUUAGUGGCGGACGGGUGAGUAACACGUGGGAACGUACCUUUUGGUUCGGAACGACUCAGGGAAACUUGAGCUAAUACCGGAUGAGCCCUUAGGGGGAAAGAUUUAUCGCCGAAAGAGGGGCCCGCGUUAGAUUAGCUAGGUGGUGAGGUAAAGGCUCCCCAAGGCUACGAUCUAUAGCUGGUCUGUGAGGAUGAUCAGCCACACUGGGACUGAGACACGGCCCAGACUCCUACGGGAGGCAGCUGUGGGGAAUCGUGCGCAAUGGGCGAAAGCCUGACGCAGCCAUGCCGCGUGAAUGAUGAAGGUCUUAGGAUUGUAAAAUUCUUUUACCAGGGACGAUAAUGACGGUACCUGGAGAAAAAGCCCCGGCUAACUUCGUGCCAGCCGCCGCGGUAAGAC